GAAACUAAUAUCUUUACUAUAAUCUGACAAACCACAGAUACCUAGAUUUGUUUUUAAAACGUGUUUACAAAAUUUAAUUGAGUUU